rnacentral:pre_miRNA from 1 species
GGGGGGAGUGCAUGAUCCUGGGCUGUGUCCCCCAGCACCCUGGGAUCUGGGGCCUGUGCUGCUGGAAUCGUGCGCCCGGGCUGCGGCUCCCA